rnacentral:rRNA from 1 species
UACGAAGGGGGCUAGCGUUGUUCGGAAUCGCUGGGCGUAAAGGGCGCGUAGGCGGCUUUGUAAGUCGGGGGUGAAAGCCUGUGGCUCAACCACAGAAUUGCCUUCGAUACUGCGAGGCUUGAGACCGGAAGAGGUUAGUGGAACUGCGAGUGUAGAGGUGAAAUUCGUAGAUAUUCGCAAGAACACCAGUGGCGAAGGCGGCUGACUGGUCCGGAUCUGACGCUGAGGCGCGAAAGCGUGGGGAGCAAACAGG